rnacentral:misc_RNA from 1 species
AAGUCGUAACAAGGUUUCCGUAGGUGAACCUGCGGAAGGAUCAUUAACACGUAUCCAAACGUUAAACCCCCCUGUGAACCUUCAGUCGUACUCGUACGUCCGUUAGAAAAAGCAGCAAUCCCUGGUAAAUCAUCGCCGAACAGUUUUCGAUUCAGGGACGUCUGCAAGGAGCGUGCAUGUUGUGCGUGUAAGUGGCCUGGCAUCCCCAAGCAGUUAGUGUCUGAAAGUGUCACUAACGUUAGUGUCUGAAAGUGUCACUAACAUGUGUAGGAUGAUCACGAUCGUUGGAGGCCCACACGGCCGACGACCGGCAAGCCCCCUUAUCACACCCCUGCUCUAUCUAUGGUGAUCCUGUCCUGCGGUCGAACGCCGAAACCGAACAACUGUUAACAAUGGAUAUCUUGGUUCUC